rnacentral:rRNA from 1 species
UACGGGGGGGGCAAGCGUUGUUCGGAAUUACUGGGCGUAAAGGGCUCGUAGGCGGCCAACUAAGUCAGACGUGAAAUCCCCAGGCUCAACCUGGGAACUGCGUCUGAUACUGGAUGGCUUGAAUUCGGGAGAGGGAUGCAGAAUUCCAGGUGUAGCGGUGAAAUGCGUAGAUAUCUGGAGGAAGACCAGUGGCGAAGGCGGGUCUCUGGACAGUUCCUGACGCUGAGGCACGAAGGCCAGGGGAGCAAACGGG